rnacentral:rRNA from 1 species
GCAGGCUGCAACCCGCCUGUAUGAAGUUGGAAUCGCUAGUAAUCGCGGAUCAGCAUGCCGCGGUGAAUACGUUCCCGGGCCUUGUACACACCGCCCGUCACACCAUGAGAGUCGGGAACACCCGAAGUCCGUAGUCUAACCGCAAGGGGACGCGGCCGAAGGUGGGUUCGAUAAUUGGGGUGAAGUCGUAACAAGGUAGC